AUUGAACGCUGGCGGCAGGCUUAACACAUGCAAGUCGAGCGGUAGCACAAGAGAGCUUGCUCUCUGGGUGACGAGCGGCGGACGGGUGAGUAAUGUCUGGGAAACUUCCUGAUGGAGGGGGAUAACUACUGGAAACGGUAGCUAAUACCGCAUAACGUCGCAAGACCAAAGAGGGGGACCUUCGGGCCUCUUGCCAUCAGAUGUGCCCAGAUGGGAUUAGCUAGUAGGUGGGGUAAUGGCUCACCUAGGCGACGAUCCCUAGCUGGUCUGAGAGGAUGACCAGCCACACUGGAACUGAGACACGGUCCAGACUCCUACGGGAGGCAGCAGUGGGGAAUAUUGCACAAUGGGCGCAAGCCUGAUGCAGCCAUGCCGCGUGUGUGAAGAAGGCCUUCGGGUUGUAAAGCACUUUCAGCGAGGAGGAAGGUGGUGAACUUAAUACGUUCAUCAAUUGACGUUACUCGCAGAAGAAGCACCGGCUAACUCCGUG
rnacentral:rRNA from 1 species